rnacentral:rRNA from 1 species
AAGCACUCCCAUACACACCAAAUGUACCCAUAGGCUUAAAAUUCACUCAAAUAAGGUACAGCCUAUUUGAAACAGGACACAACCUGCAACAGAGGGUAAUACAUAAACUAACGUGACCAAGUAGGCCUAAAAGCAGCCACCUUUUAAAAAGCGUUACAGCCUUAUCACAUUAUAUCAUUAAUUCCAACCUUAACCCAAAACCCCUUACCAAUACUGAAUGACCCCAUACCUCUAUGGAAGCCAUUAUGUUAAAACUAGUAACAAGAAUAUUUAUUCUCCCAUAAAUGUAAGUGUAAGCCGAAAUGGACCACCCAUCGGCACUUACCGCCAAUGAACCCACAGUAAUAACCCCCCCCCAAAAAAA